GACACUUUGGCCGAGUGGUUAAGGCGAUGCCCUGCUAUUACGUAAGGCAUUGGAGUUUCUCCGCGUGUGUUCGAAUCGCACAGGUGUCG